ACCAAACUCAUUCCAUUCAAUCAAACAAACCCUAGCCGACUUCUUCACCUCAAAAGCAUUCUGAUAAUAUUCACCAUCCAUUCCUCUCGUGGCUUUGAAGUUUGGUAUGUUUCUCACGUUUCUUUUCCUUGUUUAUUCGAUAUCGUCACGUUCGGUUUCUUAGCUCAUUUUUUUUAUUUUAAGCGUUAGAUUUGGAUCCGUCUCGUCCUAGUUGUUGUAGACACACACCUCUACGAUUCUCAACUUCGUUUUAGUUAAACGACUUGUCGACUGUUCGUGCUACGUAGACGAAUCAGGAGUAGUUGCUUGCCAGUUAUCACGUGGAUUAGCAAGCAGGUUAUGAUUUGAGCGAGUCAGCUGGUCUCUGAUUCUUUAAUUCCUCAGAGGUUUAUUUUAUUUUAUUAAAACUAUUAAAUUGAUUUUAUUCUUAGACCGCAGUAGUAAUUAGAAGUUGUACUUGUCUAAUACUUGUUAUCAUAAUUAUUCAAUUGAUUAAUUGUUGUUUUGGCAUUAAUAUAAUAACUUGGGUUAUUAAAUAUUUAUGCUAUGUUGGAGACUCAGAAUUGAUCGAGCAUCUAGCAUCUAUUAUAUAAAUAUUGUACUUUAUGAACUGUUAGAACUAGGCUAAAGUCUCGGUUGCCCCCGAGCAUUGUUUUCUUGCAGGUUAUGUAUUUAUAGGGUUAACUGUAAGGCUAGCUACGGGUUUUGGUACAACCAUACCCAUACCCUAGC